rnacentral:lncRNA from 1 species
GUGAUACCUAUAUAUUUAUAAUAACAAAAGAAAAAUAAUAAUUUCCGCUGGGUAUUAAAACCAGCAUUUAAAAAAGACCAGUUUUUCAAUUUCGUACAAGCAAUUUUGGGUUUUUUGGACCCUUUGAAACCCACUGGAAGCAAUUUCUGUAGCUAAAUGUCAUAUUGAAUUUGCUGGAACUUGUUACACACACCAAAAACUAAAUUGUGUAUCUAAAAAUUGGAUAAAAAUAUUUACACUUUUUUUAGAAAUAUUGAUUGUACAAGAAAAUCCACAUUUUUUGAAAAAGGCCCGUAU